rnacentral:ncRNA from 1 species
GGGAUGUUGUUAUGCACUGGAUUUAUAGCGAGGUUUGGUUAACCACCAAACCUUUU